GGGAUCCUGCCAGUCCAAAGUGAACUCCUGAUGGACAUUGAAGUACUCCUGCAGAGCUUGUAUCUUCGACACCAUGCGCAUUAGAAACUCCACUGAGUCCUUUCCUUCACCAAGGCAGGACCCAGUGACUCAUUACUGUUGAUAGGUCAGGGGCAGGGGUGUGUUUGCUGAUGUCUGUCGGACCAUUACCCUGGUGCAUCACCCAAGAGCGCCUCAAGUUCCAAGCACAAAGUGACUGCCAGACAUCCUCCUUCAGGAUUUUCUGAGGGAGCAUCUGAUGCUUGUUUUACCCAGUCAUUUUUUCUUUAGUCUAAAUCUAGCAUUUGGUUUUUAAAAUCACUUUCAGAAGCCCAUGUGGUGGAACUAGGAAAGAGGAAGAUUUCUUUUUAAAGUUUUACUCUACUUCAGCCGGCCUAAGUAAAGGGAAAAGAGUCAAACUCUCAUUACAGUGUCCCAUGAAGAAACCAAUGUGAGUAUGUGAAAGGAAUAAUGCUUGCACACAUUCAGGCUGUCUUUUGUCUAAAGUUAAAAGAUCUGUUGACUAAUGUUUUGUCGGCCAUCUCUUAUAUCCUACCAUUGACAUUCUUCUACAGCUGUUGCUCAUUAUUCUAGGAGUGUCAUCAAGUCAAUCAAGGCUUCAAAGAAUUAAAGGACAGUUUCUUACUGCUGCAUUACAGAGAUAAGAUGAAUACUGAUAUUUGCAACAAGAAAUGAUUACUUAUGAAAAAGUUGUAACCUCUUAAUUUAACAAGUAUUUUAGAGUAGACAUAUUUUCUAUUUUAAAAGGCCAUCCUACAUUACUGUUUAAGGUCUAAGAUAGAAGACCAAGAAAUAAAAAACAAGAUAAUAGACAGUUCUGGUCAGAUGUUUACAUAUACUCAUAGAAUAGAUUUGUAGUCUUUCUGGCACAUGAUAGGAGUGCCCUCCAUCCCAAAAAAUCUCAAAACAUAGUGUCACUCAGCAGUGUUGAUGCAUAGUUAGUGGAUAGUUAUUUAAGUCUUCUUGUGGAAGAGAGGAGUUUACAUAUCUUCACAGACCUUUAAUUAAAACUCAUCAUUUUAUGAUCUACAACCACAUUAUUUUCCUUACGAAUGAUUUAAUCUGCCUUAAAUAGUGACAUAAAUAAUCAGCUGAAUAGUCAAAAGAGAAAUAGGCCAUGUUUUUUAUUUUUAUUUUCUUUAUUUUGUUACUAAUGGGAAAAGAAGGCUAGGCUGUUCUACUUAACAGAAACAGUACACAGUACAACAGCUAGCUUAACUUAGUUGUAGGGGC
ensembl:lncRNA